UACGAAGGGGGCUAGCGUUGUUCGGAUUUACUGGGCGUAAAGCGCGUGUAGGCGGACUUGUAAGUUGGGGGUGAAAUCCCGAGGCUCAACCUCGGGACUGCCUCCAAAACUACAAGUCUGGACCCAAGUAGAGGCAAGUGGAAUUGCGAGUGUAGAGGUGAAAUUCGUAGAUAUUCGCAGGAACACCAGUGGCGAAGGCGACUUGCUGGACUUGUGGUGACGCUGAGACGCGAAAGCGUGGGGAGCAAACAGG
rnacentral:rRNA from 1 species